AUGAACGCUAGCUACAGGCUUAACACAUGCAAGUCGAGGGGCAGCAUUUUAGUUUGCUUGCAAACUGAAGAUGGCGACCGGCGCACGGGUGAGUAACACGUAUCCAACCUGCCGAUAACUCCGGGAUAGCCUUUCGAAAGAAAGAUUAAUACCGGAUGGCAUACGAAUAUCGCAUGAUAUUUUUAUUAAAGAAUUUCGGUUAUCGAUGGGGAUGCGUUCCAUUAGUUUGUUGGCGGGGUAACGGCCCACCAAGACUACGAUGGAUAGGGGUUCUGAGAGGAAGGUCCCCCACAUUGGAACUGAGACACGGUCCAAACUCCUACGGGAGGCAGCAGUGAGGAAUAUUGGUCAAUGGGCGCGAGCCUGAACCAGCCAAGUAGCGUGAAGGAUGAAGGCUCUAUGGGUCGUAAACUUCUUUUAUAUGGGAAUAAAGUUUUCCACGUGUGGAAUUUUGUAUGUACCAUAUGAAUAAGGAUCGGCUAACUCCGUGCCAGCAGCCGCGGUAAUACGGAGGAUCCGAGCGUUAUCCGGAUUUAUUGGGUUUAAAGGGAGCGUAGGUGGAUUGUUAAGUCAGUUGUGAAAGUUUGCGGCUCAACCGUAAAAUUGCAGUUGAAACUGGCAGUCUUGAGUACAGUAGAGGUGGGCGGAAUUCGUGGUGUAGCGGUGAAAUGCUUAGAUAUCACGAAGAACUCCGAUUGCGAAGGCAGCUCACUAGACUGUUACUGACACUGAUGCUCGAAAGUGUGGGUAUCAAACAGGAUUAGAUACCCUGGUAGUCCACACAGUAAACGAUGAAUACUCGCUGUUUGCGAUAUACAGUAAGCGGCCAAGCGAAAGCAUUAAGUAUUCCACCUGGGGAGUACGCCGGCAACGGUGAAACUCAAAGGAAUUGACGGGGGCCCGCACAAGCAGUGGAGUAUGUGGUUUAAUUCGAAGCAACGCGAAGAACCUUACUAGGUCUUGACAUCCUACUAACGAGAUAGAGAUAUGUUAGGUGCCCUUCGGGGAAAGUAGAGACAGGUGGUGCAUGGUUGUCGUCAGCUCGUGUCGUGAGAUGUUGGGUUAAGUCCCGCAACGAGCGCAACCCUUAUCCUUUGUUGCCAGCGGUCCGGCCGGGAACUCAAAGGAGACUGCCAGUGAUAAACUGGAGGAAGGUGGGGAUGACGUCAAAUCAGCACGGCCCUUACGUCCGGGGCUACACACGUGUUAGAAUGGGGGGUACAGAAGGCGGCUACCUGGUGACAGGAUGCUAAUCCCAAAAACCUCUCUCAGUUCGGAUCGAAGUCUGCAACCCGACUUCGUGAAGCUGGAUUCGCUAGUAAUCGCGCAUCAGCCAUGGCGCGGUGAAUACGUUCCCGGGCCUUGUACACACCGCCCGUCAAGCCAUGAAAGCCGGGGGUACCUGAAGUACGUAACCGCAAGGAGCGUCCUAGGGUAAAACUGGUAAUUGGGGCU
rnacentral:rRNA from 1 species